rnacentral:rRNA from 1 species
UACGUAGGGGGCAAGCGUUGUCCGGAUUUAUUGGGCGUAAAGAGCUCGUAGGCGGUGUGUCACGUCGGCCGUGAAAACCUGGGGCUUAACUCUGGGCGUGCGGUCGAUACGGGCAUCACUAGAGUUCGGCAGGGGAGACUGGAAUUCCUGGUGUAGCGGUGAAAUGCGCAGAUAUCAGGAGGAACACCGGUGGCGAAGGCGGGUCUCUGGGCCGAUACUGACGCUGAGGAGCGAAAGCAUGGGUAGCGAACAAGG